AUACGUAGGUGGCGAGCGUUAUCCGGAAUUACUGGGUGUAAAGGGUGUGUAGGCGGGAUUGCAAGUCAGGCGUGAAAUGCAAAGGCUCAACCAUUGAAUUGCGCUUGAAACUGUAAUUCUUGAGAGUGGGAGAGGUAAACGGAAUUCCUGGUGUAGUAGUGAAAUGCGUAGAUAUCAGGAGGAACACCGGUGGCGAAGGCGGUUUACUGGACCACAACUGACGCUGAGACACGAAAGCGUGGGGAGCAAACAGGAUUAGAUACCCUGGUAGUCCACACUGUAAACGAUGAAUGCUAGGUGUAGGGGGUAUCGACCCCUUCUGUGCCGCAGUCAACACAAUAAGCAUUCCGCCUGGGGAGUACGGCCGCAAGGUUGAAACUCAAAUGAAUUGACGGGG
rnacentral:rRNA from 1 species